AGGGACACACGUGUGCUGAUGAAGCUUUCUUCCACAGUGACUCACCCUAUCAUUGCAUCUCUGUGUUAAGAAAUACGUAAUGAAGGCAGUAGAAGUGAUUUAGCAUCUUUCAUGGGCAUAAGCUCUGUGCUUGCCUCUGAAUAGUCAGAGGAUGGAGAUUAUGAUGGAUGUUCCUGCUAUUUCAGCUUCUGCUCUGCUCACUUGUCAUGCCACCUCUGUGUCAGGAAGG